rnacentral:lncRNA from 1 species
UACCUGCAAAUUUACACAACUUUAUAAGAAAACUGAAGCGGCACUCCUUCUGCAGGUCUACCCCCUUUGUUUGGAAACUGUGUUGACGGGCAAGCUCAGCAACCAGAUGUUCAGGGAGCACCAAUUUACUGCCCACCAGGAACUACUGAUUAUGAAGAUUAGCAGAGACGUCAAACCGAUGGAACAUGGAGGCAAGAAGCGGACGAGAAUUGCGGACUGACUCCUGUGCCUGCCACAGGUUAUCACCCAACGAGGCUUGCCUACACUACACGAGACAGGCUUUGCAAACACUUCAUCGGAAGCGGCAAGGUCCCCUGGCAAGAGGAGAUGAUCAGGAGCAGCAGAGUGUAGUAAUGUUGCAGCAGCUGCUGGUGUUGCUGGGCCACUUGACGGAACUGAGGAGCCAGAAGUUUCCGGCACCUCAUCUUGGUCCUGGAGAUUUCUGUUUCCAGUGCUCAACAGUUAUGA